UCGGUCUGGGAUGGACUCGCGGCCUAUCAGCUUGUUGGUGAGGUAACGGCUCACCAAGGCGACGACGGGUAGCCGGCCUGAGAGGGCGACCGGCCACACUGGAACUGAGACACGGUCCAG
rnacentral:rRNA from 1 species